rnacentral:rRNA from 1 species
AGAGUUUGAUCCUGGCUCAGGAUGAACGCUGGCGGCGUGCUUAACACAUGCAAGUCGAACGAAGCUGCUUAACUGAUCUUCUUCGGAAUUGACGUUUUGUAGACUGAGUGGCGGACGGGUGAGUAACGCGUGGGUAACCUGCCCUGUACAGGGGGAUAACAGUCAGAAAUGACUGCUAAUACCGCAUAAGACCACAGCACCGCAUGGUGCAGGGGUAAAAACUCCGGUGGUACAGGAUGGACCCGCGUCUGAUUAGCUGGUUGGUGAGGUAACGGCUCACCAAGGCGACGAUCAGUAGCCGGCUUGAGAGAGUGAACGGCCACAUUGGGACUGAGACACGGCCCAAACUCCUACGGGAGGCAGCAGUGGGGAAUAUUGCACAAUGGGGGAAACCCUGAUGCAGCGACGCCGCGUGAGUGAAGAAGUAUCUCGGUAUGUAAAGCUCUAUCAGCAGGGAAGAAAAUGACGGUACCUGACUAAGAAGCCCCGGCUAACUACGUGCCAGCAGCCGCGGUAAUACGUAGGGGGCAAGCGUUAUCCGGAUUUACUGGGUGUAAAGGGAGCGUAGACGGCAAGGCAAGUCUGAUGUGAAAACCCAGGGCUUAACCCUGGGACUGCAUUGGAAACUGUCUGGCUCGAGUGCCGGAGAGGUAAGCGGAAUUCCUAGUGUAGCGGUGAAAUGCGUAGAUAUUAGGAGGAACAUCAGUGGCGAAGGCGGCUUACUGGACUGAAACUGACACUGAGGCACGAAAGCGUGGGGAGCAAACAGGAUUAGAUACCCUGGUAGUCCACGCCGUAAACG